GCGAACUGCGGGCCAUCGGCCGCGGUAAUACGGAGGGUGCAAGCGUUAGCCGGAUUUAUUGGGUUUAAAGGGUCCGUAGGCGGACCGGUAAGUCAGUUGUGAAAGCCUACAGCUUAACUGUAGAACUGCCGUUGAUACUGUCGGUCUUGAGUGUGGUUGAGGUAGCUGGAAUGAGUAGUGUAGCGGUGAAAUGCAUAGAUAUUACUCAGAACACCAAUUGCGAAGGCAGGUUACCAAGUCACAACUGACGCUGAUGGACGAAAGCGUGGGGAGCGAACAGGAUUAGAUACCCCUGUAGUC
rnacentral:rRNA from 1 species